rnacentral:RNase_P_RNA from 1 species
CGAGUCAGCCGGGCAAUUGCCGCUUAUUCGGUGCAGUUUGCUAUUUGUAAACUGUGGCCAUGAGAGGAGGAAAGUCCGGGCUCCAAAGAGCAGGGUGCCAGGUAAUACCUGGGGAGUGAGAACUCACGGCCAGUGCAACAGAAAAUAUACCGCCUUGAUUUAACUUUUGUUUUAGAUAGGUAAGGGUGAAAUGGUGCGGUAAGAGCGCACCGCGCAGCUGGUAACAGCUUG